GACGAACGCUGGCGGCGUGCCUAAUACAUGCAAGUUGAGCGAUGAAGAUUGGUGCUUGCACCAAUUUGAAGAGCAGCGAACGGGUGAGUAACGCGUGGGGAAUCUGCCUUUGAGCGGGGGACAACAUUUGGAAACGAAUGCUAAUACCGCAUAACAACUUUAAACAUAAGUUUUAAGUUUGAAAGAUGCAAUUGCAUCACUCAAAGAUGAUCCCGCGUUGUAUUAGCUAGUUGGUGAGGUAAAGGCUCACCAAGGCGAUGAUACAUAGCCGACCUGAGAGGGUGAUCGGCCACAUUGGGACUGAGACACGGCCCAAACUCCUACGGGAGGCAGCAGUAGGGAAUCUUCGGCAAUGGACGAAAGUCUGAACGAGCAACGCCGCGUGAGUGAAGAAGGUUUUCGGGUCGUAAAACUCUGUUGGUAGAGAAGAACGUUGGUGAGAGUGGAAAGCUCAUCAAGUGACGGUAACUACCCAGAAAGGGACGGCUAACUACGUG
rnacentral:rRNA from 1 species